rnacentral:piRNA from 1 species
UGCACAGCACAUUAACUGGCUCUGGCUGC